GAUGAGGCUACCAGGAGAGAACAGAGAAGAAAAGACGCUCUGAAAAAGGAAAAGAUGAGAGUUCUUAUGGAAAAAUGUGCCUUGGGAAAAAUUACAAUACUACAGCAAGGAGCACACAGGCCGCAUCUGUCCUGGGGCUCAUUUGUCCUUCUUCAACCUCCUCCACAGUUAGAGGCUCCUGAACUACAAUGGCAAUGAUCGAAGAAACUGUUGUUGAAAAGUCCACGCCAAAUUCUCGGUAUGUCACUGAAGACAAGGACAUUUUGGGUAGAACCUGGCUGCUAAUCCACUCUUGUCAGGAGGGAAGAUUUUUUCUCUUUCUGUAGUGAGCAACAAGGCCACUCGAUGAAGAAACUGAGGUUCAUGGAAGUUAAAUAACUUGCCCACAGGGCACAACUAGUAGGCAGCUAAGCUAGGACUUCAACUGAGGUCUGUAAGACUUAAAGCACAUGCUAUUCCUGCUCCUCAAUAGCUUUCCUGCUAAGCACCAAGAGACGCUAGGCUGCCAGGAACAUCACAGCAGAGACCACCGUCAAUCAAUGCAUCUCCACCGUCUUUUAGACUUUCUUUUGAAGAAAGAUUUAGCUGCUAAAAGAAAAGAUGAAUAUACAAAAAGGAUAAUACUACCAUAUUUCAUCAUAUUGUCUCGUUUUAAUACAAGAAGACUCAUCCAGCUUAAACAUUUGAUGUUUAAGAAGCUAACCAGCAAGCUGCCCUCUGGGAAUGCAUACCAUCAGGUAUGGAUCAGUGGCCCUGAGAUCAUGUUCAUAACUCAGCAGCUUUGUACAAGCUGUCAAGACUCAGAACAUGGUACCCCAAAGUAUGGCACCUUGGUGUGCUGAGUACUGUGGACUGAAGGACAUCGGAAAUGUCUCAGAAGCUAUGUCUCUUUGACCUUCUCCCAACCUCCUGUCUCCUACCUGUCUUUCUCCCAUGAAGUGAGUCAUGGCAAUCAUAAUUCCUCUUUCCCAAGGUGUGUCACAGAAACUAGAACCCCUCUCCUCCAAGGGAAGCCGUGAAACCUAGAAAGGUCACUCUCUGCCUUCCCCCUUCUCCCUUGAAGACCCUCAUUCCAGAGGGGCCCUGCCCCAUAUUCAGGAGGGUUACACAAAGAGGUUAAGAAGAAUUUGAACAUUCAGGCCUUGCUGGGUUCCCUGCUCAGUCUAUCAGCAUUAGAUCACAUCCUUUAGUCCAUCACAUUUCUACACCGCUGUCCAUUCUUCAUCAAACCGAAGAAUAAAAAAAGUUUUCCCUGGGU
rnacentral:antisense_RNA from 1 species